rnacentral:rRNA from 1 species
GACGAACGCUGGCGGCGUGCCUAAUACAUGCAAGUAGGACGCACAGCCUAUACCGUAGCUUGCUACACCAUAGGCUGUGAGUUGCGAACGGGUGAGUAACGCGUAGGUAACCUGCCUAUUAGAGGGGGAUAACUAUUGGAAACGAUAGCUAAUACCGCAUAACAGUAUGUAACACAUGUUAGAUGCUUGAAAGAUGCAAUUGCAUCGCUAGUAGAUGGACCUGCGUUGUAUUAGCUAGUAGGUAGGGUAAUGGCCUACCUAGGCAACGAUACAUAGCCGACCUGAGAGGGUGAUCGGCCACACUGGGACUGAGACACGGCCCAGACUCCUACGGGAGGCAGCUAGUAGGGAAUCUUCGGCAAUGGGGGGAACCCUGACCGAGCAACGCCGCGUGAGUGAAGAAGGUUUUCGGAUCGUAAAGCUCUGUUGUUAAGGAAGAACGAGUGUGAGAAUGGAAAGUUCAUACUGUGACG